UACAAACGUAAGUGUUUAAAAAUUAGAGAUAGGUUUUGCCGGUUGUUGAUGAGUGAUGAAUACCAGCUGUGAAUUUUCUCAACGCGUGUAAGCAGCCACGACACAGGAAACCGAAACAGUGUUCCAAUAUAAAGUGAGGGUCCUUGACAGUGGCCGAACCCGCAUACUACACGAUAUAAUGAUUCCCCACCUCGGGAGCUAUAGGGAACGAAUUGAGACACAGCCCUGGAUGUAAUCACGUCUGUGCUGAUGAUCACGUGCCUGUACACAAACCCGCAGCUCACUUGCAAAAGAUUAUCCGGUUAUUUAUUACACGUAAUGUAAACGUUUUUAAUGUUAUCAUGAAUCAAUGUUAUAGUUUGUCACAUUAUUUUUUGAGAAGAGUCAUGACUGAACGCGGACCUUACACGCUGUUAUUUUUUUGUAUGCGUAUGGCCAAGGUACAGUGCGCUCUUUUGCACUAUGACCAGCCAUCAGUAAAUCGAAAUACAGUAAAAAAAAUGAGCGCGAAACCCUGACACUUUACAGAAAGGCACGGAUAUCCCCGCCCGAAGAAAAAAAGAACACAGGACAAUGGUUGCAAGUUAAACAGCUGAACAUUUCACCAUCUGCAAAGAACAUUUCACCAUCAACAUAUUAACAUAAACGGUUCUCUUUUUCUUGUUUGACUGCGUUUGGUACAGGUCACAACAACGACGGCAGAUGUAGAGACCACGCUUUCCCUUGCUUCCACUCCACGGCUGAUCAUGCUUGAGGAUCCAGAUCUACAAAACAAAAAAUGGAUGCUGCCGAUUGAAGGCUAAGUCCGAUUUCCUGCGAUUGACCUACCAUUUCUUAAGCAUUUGCUGUUCACUUUGGUUGCUACUACGUGCUCAACAUCGAGUACCAUGUGCAAGCAGCCACUACUUUGGAGUUUAUUCAGAGAUUUAUUGUGAGGAUCAGCCCCGACAACAGCAAGUGCUCCUCUAACUUCCAGGUGAGCAAAAGAAGUGGGAAGAUGGUGCAAAGGAAGAACUCUGGCCUGAACCAUCAUGUGUAUAUAUCCACCUUUAUUAAGGACUUUAUGAAUUAAGCAAAACUAUUAAGAAACUAAAGCAAAUACAUUCUACUCAACUCACCAGAGGUUUGUGAAGUUCUUUUUUUUCUUAAAGGUUUCUUUUAGUUAAUUUGUCCAUGCACUGAUUUAUAAUAUUGUAAUAUGAAACUCCAGUGUAUACAUGUUACUACUGUUGCUUCUAAAAGCAAAAUAAGUCUAUGCAGGAGAGGUUUUGUUACAUUUUUUUAAAUUAUUCUUAUAGACGGUUUCAUCGGACGCACAUGAUACACGUCUGGAUCCGAUCCUUACUUCCGGUUUCGCUUUUUUAAUGGUCUGACUAGUUGCUAAACUGAUCUCUUGAACAAAAGCCUCGUCGAAAAUAACAAAUGUUUUGGUUUCCGGGCUAAUCUAUGUGUUGUUUUUUUGCUUGUUAUAUAAAUAAAAUGCGUUUAAAGAACUUUGU